CCUACGGGUGGCAGCAGUGGGGAAUAUUGCGCAAUGGGCGAAAGCCUGACGCAGCGACGCCGCGUGAGCGAUGCAGGUUUUCGGAUCGUAAACCUCUGUCAGAAGGGAAGAAGUUGCAUGUGGCCAAUCACCUGUGCAUUGACGGUACCUUCCAAGGAAGCACCGGCUAACUCCGUGCCAGCAGCCGCGGUAAUACGGAGGGUGCGAGCGUUAAUCGGAAUUACUGGGCGUAAAGCGCACGUAGGCGGUAUGUCAAGCCUCGGGUGAAAUCCCACGGCUCAACCGUGGAACUGCCUUUGAAACUGGCGAACGGGAGUAUGGGAGAGGGAGGAGGAAUUCCUGGUGUAGGAGUGAAAUGCGUAGAUAUCAGGAGGAACAUCAGUGGCGAAGGCGGCCGCCUGGCACAAAACUGACGCUGAGGUGCGAAAGCGUGGGUAGCAAACAGGAUUAGAUACCCUAGUAGUC
rnacentral:rRNA from 1 species